rnacentral:rRNA from 1 species
GACGUAGGGCGCGAGCGUUGUCCGGAUUUAUUGGGCGUAAAGAGCUCGUAGGCGGCUUGUUACGUCGUUCGUGAAAACUUGGGGCUCAACCCCAAGCUUGCGGUCGAUACGGGCAGGCUAGAGUUCGGUAGGGGAGACUGGAAUUCCUGGUGUAGCGGUGAGAUGCGCAGAUAUCAGGAGGAACACCGGUGGCGAAGGCGGGUCUCUGGGCCGAUACUGACGCUGAGGAGCGAAAGCGUGGGGAGCGAACAGG